GCCUGCGCCUACAAAAUUGAGGUUUUACAAUGAAGGGGGGCCUUACAUGAAGAUGUAAUAUUUUCCAGCAAUUUUAAAUUUGUGAAGCUUUUUGGUUGUAAAUAAUUCUUACAUAUGUAUUGAAAGUACUUUAAAUGGAGAGAAAAGUUACAAAUAACAUAUCAUAUUAGUUUAAAAGGGUCUUAGGCCAAGUAAGACUGGAAAAAAUUUAGGGUCAAUUUAGGCUGUGCCACAUAUUUACAUUAAAAAAUGCAUAUUGAGGCUAUAAGAAAUAAAAAUGUGUGUCUUUUUUAUCAUUCUAUACUCAUGUGACAUGAUACAACAAGUCUGAGCACAAAAAGACUCUUGCAAUUAACUUUUCUUACAAACAGUAUGGUCUGAUACAAAGAUUUGUGCCUUUUUAG
rnacentral:lncRNA from 1 species